AUUGAACGCUGGCGGCAUGCCUUACACAUGCAAGUCGAACGGCAGCACGGGAGCAAUCCUGGUGGCGAGUGGCGAACGGGUGAGUAAUACAUCGGAACGUGCCCAGUAGUGGGGGAUAACCCGGCGAAAGCCGGACUAAUACCGCAUACGACCUACGGGUGAAAGCAGGGGAUCGCAAGACCUUGCGCUAUUGGAGCGGCCGAUGUCAGAUUAGCUUGUUGGNGGGGUAAAAGCCUACCAAGGCAACGAUCUGUAGCUGGUCUGAGAGGACGACCAGCCACACUGGGACUGAGACACGGCCCAGACUCCUACGGAAGGCAGCAGUGGGGAAUUUGGACAAUGGGCGCAAGCCUGAUCCAGCCAU
rnacentral:rRNA from 1 species